AGUGAACGCUGGCGGUAGGCCUAACACAUGCAAGUCGAACGGCAGCACAGUAAAAGCUUGCUCUUACGGGUGGCGGGUGGCGAACGGGUGGGGAUUACAUCGGAACCUACUUUUUCGUGGGGGUUACGUAAGGGAACCUAACCUUAAUCCCCCUUCCGACCUCCGGUGGAAACCAGGGAAUCUUCGAACCUUCCCCGAUUGAUUGGCCCGAUGUCGGAUUAGCUAGUUGGCGGGGUAAAGGCCCACCAAGGCGACGAUCCGUAGCUGGUCUGAGAGGAUGAUCAGCCACACUGGAACUGAGACACGGUCCAGACUCCUACGGGAGGCAGCAGUGGGGAAUAUUGGACAGUGGGCGCAAGCCUGAUCCAGCCAUACCGCGUGGGUGAAGAAGGCCUUCGGGUUGUAAAGCCCUUUUGUUGGGAAAGAAAAGCAGCAGGUUAAUACCCCGCUGUUCUGACGGUACCCAAAGAAUAAGCACCGGCUAACUUCGUG
rnacentral:rRNA from 1 species